rnacentral:lncRNA from 1 species
GCUUAGCUCAUUCGUUCAAGUUCCAAAAGGAAUCAUACGACCUUUUCACUCACACAACGACUCGCUAAUUAACUGAAUCGUUUAAAGCGGUUCUUCUGAACUUCCUCGUGGAGCAGAACGCAGAAACUUUGUGGACAAAAAUUACAAAAGGAGCGCUGGAUAAAGUAAAUAUUGACCAGCAAUGCAUUGAAAAAACACAAUACGUUUGAUGACAGCGAUGAAGAAGUUAUGAAGUUCAACACCUGCAAGCAACUUGACCACACAGAAGACUCGGAGCAAGACAGAACAGAGAGCGCUUAGAUCACCGGCUCUCUGAAGACACCGGUACGAGCCAAGCUGAGAUGUGCUACCACAGGAGGAGAUAUUUUGAUUAUUCUGAAAGCUUGACAGUUUCAGGUGGCUGGAAGAUUCGCCCAAUUGAUUUGGGUUUUUCUCAGCAAGAACAAAAUGAGAGGGAAGAUUGCCAGGAAGUGUCCCGCUGUUACCAUUCUGGCCAGUGGAGGGUGCUGUAAGAUAUUAAAUAUUGGGGGAAAUAUGUUUGUAUGAAGAGCGGCACAAUGGUCAAUUAUGGUGCCUCACAGCAAGAAGGUCACUGGUUUGAGUCCCAGCUGGGUCAGUUGGCAUUUCUGUGUGGAGUUUGCAUGCUC